rnacentral:rRNA from 1 species
AUCCUGGCUCAGAAUCAACGCUGGCGGCGUGCCUAACACAUGCAAGUCGAACGAGAAAGGGUAGCAAUACCUGAGUAAAGUGGCGCACGGGUGAGUAACACGUGACUAACCUACCCUGGAGUGGGGGAUAACUGAGGGAAACCUUAGCUAAUACCGCAUAAUACCCACGGGUCAAAGGAGCAAUUCGCUUCAGGAGGGGGUCGCGGCCGAUUAGUUAGUUGGCGGGGUAAUGGCCCACCAAGACUGUGAUCGGUAUCCGGCCUGAGAGGGCGCACGGACACACUGGAACUGAAACACGGUCCAGACUCCUACGGGAGGCA